ACAUCGCAGGAUGGAGGAGGAGACUAGGAGGGAGCUGGAUGAGAUGAGAGUGAAGGACCCCGUAAAAGGGAUGGUGGCUCUUGAAGAUUGAAUCUUCUGUAUAUAGACGGAGUGUGCUACAAUUUUUAUUGGUGUGUAACAGAGGUGCCGGCUGCAUUGCCGUAUUGUGAAAUUAUAGGCUUCCCAUGUCGUCACUUGUUAGGAAAAAUUCCCUCGAAAUAUACAUUAUAAAUGACUUAAUUCUACUUAAUGAGUGGCCUCAUGUUACACAGUUGUGAGUUUGAAAAUUUCUCAUCCUUCAUCUUUCUCCUCGUACUUCUUGAUAAGUAAUGUAAUCUAAGUUACAAUCUCUCUCACUCUCUCUCUAGCACUCAUUUAUAUAAAUAUUAGACAUCAGCUUCAUCAAAUUGGAAGAAUUCAUAAAUGAAAAUAACCAGGCUGAUAAUAGAGUAUAAGAAAUAGACACACAAAAAAGAUGAAUAGCACUUAUAUAUAACAAAACAAUCAUUUCCCAUGCACCAUCACAAAACUGACACACCACAGAGAGACACAAUAAGCUAAUUAAUAUGUCAAUAUCAGAUGGUGGUUCUGUAUAUAUUCCCUACAUAUUGGGAGGUGAGCUAUUUUCAGAGCUGUAUAAACAGUUUUUCCAGUAAUUACUCUUAGUAAUUAAUCUUAGAUGUGUUUUGCGGACCAAGCCGACUCUCCUCAGUGCUCUGUUUUGAACUUCUCGUGAUGUCCUUAUUGUUAUUUUAAAAUCUUAUAAUAUUAAUUACAUCUUCCACUGAAGCGAGAGCUCAUUUGAAAAGUGGGCCUCCAGAAUGACAGGUGCUCAUUUGUGUAUUCAGAGGUCAAGGCAGGGUGCCAGCCUACUAUAUUAAAUAUAUUAUUAUUCAUCAUAAGGCAGAGAAAGUCAAUAAAAUAAGAACACUGCAGUGAUUGCUCUGUGCCUUCUUGAGCUUCAUACAAGUUUACCAGCACAUCCUUUGUCUCACAGAGCAAGUGUUGAUCAGUACAUUGUGCUUCUCUAUGGAUCAUGUAGGAUGUUUCACAACCUUUUUUCGUCCUCUGUAAACAGAAUUUGUGCUUAAACAUUGUCCUUUUCCUCUAUUUCUGUCAUUAAGUGCUCAAUUUCCUUGUCAUUUCCUGUUUGCAUGUGGGAAAGGGCAAAAGAGAGUUACAGAAAUAAGGAAAGUACAUGUCUGUGUGUGCAUGCAAAUUUAUGCUAGAGUGUACAUGGCUCAAGCAUCCAGUCUCCAGCCAUUUUUUGUUGAGAUGACUUCACAGAUCAACAAAGCAUGCCAGAUUUUAAUAGUGCACAGGUAAAAUAUCUGUUUAUGUGUAUUUUUUUUUCAUUUAUGCAUUUUCAUUGAUGUAUACUAAUUUCCUCUGAAACGUAGACUCUACUUGAAAGAUAACAAAGGUUUGUUGUGCUUAUUUGAAGUCUUUGGCCCAUUCUCACACUUCUAACUGAUAAAAGGAAACUUUUAUCCAGAUUUUAGCAAUAAUGUUCACAUUUCCAUCUCAUCUCACAGCUUUUUUCAAAACUAAAACUUGACUCAGUGUCUUUUAGUGAUUAAUUCAUACUGUUCCCAAAAUGUUGCUAAGUGUCAGCACUCGACUGGAUUCAGGAAACAAGGAUUAAUUUGAGUAUGGUUGUCUGACUGUAUUUUCUAUGUAUAACACAGUGUGUGUGUGUGUGUGUGUGUGUGUGUGUGUGUGUGUGUGUGUGUGUGUGUGUGUGUAUCUGAAGUUAUGUUAUCAGUGUUUGAGGGAUGUUUAAAAUAUGGAUGGGCUGAGGGUUGCACUCUCAUCCAUGUAACUGAGUUACACAUUCAACACUGUACUAUCCCAUUAGCAAUACUCCACAACUGCAUCGGCCCUCAGAACCCUAUCAUGGAGCUGUUUGGAUGAUCGUGUACUUUAAGGGAAAACCCUAAUGCUGCUGUUACUCCAUCAAGGCCAAUCUGAAUUGCAGUAACACACUGAUUUGCUUUUUGCACUACUUAGUGCAGUUUGGUUCUGUUCUUUCAGGAUGAACAGCUGGAAUGAGAAUCGAUUCUGAACUAUUCGGUUCUGCUCUUUAAAUCAUAAAAUGUAAUAAAUUGUUAACAUAAUGGCUUUUCAGUGUCCUCAGACACCACCUCUUUGGCAGGAUAGUGUCGAAAAAUAUAUUUUUGUUCCCUAUUGUCGUCGUACCUGCAGUAUGUCUUUAGUCUCCGAGCUCUGCUGCUGCCUAUUAUAAUAGGUGAGGUCCUUCCCAGAUGUCACCACCACUUUUUACUGGGCUCAGAGCAGUUUUGCCAUUUCUUCAUUAUACUAAAAUAGAGCAAAACUGGACCAGUACAGGGAAGCUUCUAUCCAGAACAUUUUAAUAAAAAUGAGAGUCUGAAUAAGAGGUGACUUAAAAGCAGAAUAUCAAAUGACCUGAUUCCUCACCUGUACAGGAAGCAGAUAAUUGUGCAAAGAGACUCUCAUAUAGCUAUGUUAUUAUUAAAGUUCUCGUUUUGUCAUCAGGUUUACAAAUCGGUUAUUUCAGAAUUAGAAAUGAUUCAUUUUUAAAUGUUUUUGUUUAAUGUUGCUCCCUUGCUUGUUAUCUGUUUUUAGUUAAUUUUACUGUGAAUUUGUGCCUUUUGUCAUUUUAUCUUCUGAACUACAUGGAGAUGUGAAUAAAAUAAAUAUGGAAAAAAA
ensembl:lncRNA